UACAACAAAGAAGGAAAAAAAGAAAAAGAAAAAGAAAAAGAGAUAAUUAGAUGAGGAGCUACACGAGUACCAAGACGGAAGGAGAGGCAGGAGAUCAGAAAAUUAGGAAGGCAAAUCCUUCAUAUUUGUUUUCCUUUGGAUGAUUUCGAAUGUGAAGUUCAUAGGAGGGGGAAUCUUGUUGCUAACCUGAAGGGGGGUUCCACCUCUAUAAACAGAGUACUGGCAUUACAUUUAAGGGGAUAUAUCACCAACAUUAAGGGGAUUCUUGAUUUUUGUUUUGGCAAUUGAUUUUUCAAGCAUUAAGAUUUCGUUCAUGGGAUUAUGUUCGGGAGGAAAGCAGCUUUUACGUGCUUAUUGGUAUGCUAUUUUAUUUUUUUAUUUUAGUUUAUUUUGUUUAGCAUUUGUUGAAUUUAUUUAUUAUUUUUUAUUUUUGAAUGUUAAGGAGAUCAUUGUUUUUAAUUUAGAGCAGAGUAUUUUUGAAGAUUGAAAUUCAAAAUUUAUUUUAUUGUCUUCUUUAACUAAUUGUUACAUUGAAAUAAGUUUUCUGUUUAUUUAAAC
rnacentral:lncRNA from 1 species